AAUACCCUAAACAUGGCAUGCAGAUGGAUUGAAGAGGAUUUCUAUCCAUAGUUCAGGGGGCACGUCCAUUAAACGUGAUGAUCUGAUUCAUCGAAGAAGCCGUAUGGACUGCUCGAGGUGACUUGCUUGGUAUUUCGACAAGAGUACUAAACCGCAUGUGAUGUUGGUAACUAAAGCGCACGAACUGACAAAUUCCGAUGAGCCCCGCAUUGCUUCACGUGCGUAAGAAGUUAUUUGUUUUCUAUUGUACUUUUCUUUUAAAAACUCUUAGAGUCGCUCCGUUAUUCAUUUUUAUUAGUGUCAUGAGUAUUCUCAUAUCAUUAAAGACUUAUGACUAGUAUUAGAUGUUC